rnacentral:rRNA from 1 species
AACGCGAAGAACCUUACCAGGUCUUGACAUCCCUCUGACCGUCCUAGAGAUAGGGCUUUCCUUCGGGACAGAGGAGACAGGUGGUGCAUGGUUGUCGUCAGCUCGUGUCGUGAGAUGUUGGGUUAAGUCCCGCAACGAGCGCAACCCUUGAACUUAGUUGCCAGCACGUUAUGGUGGGCACUCUAGGUUGACUGCCGGUGACAAACCGGAGGAAGGCGGGGAUGACGUCAAAUCAUCAUGCCCCUUAUGACCUGGGCUACACACGUACUACAAUGGCCGGUACAACGGGUAGCGAAACCGCGAGGUGGAGCCAAUCCUAUCAAAGCCGGUCUCAGUUCGGAUUGCAGGCUGCAACUCGCCUGCAUGAAGUCGGAAUUGCUAGUAAUCGCGGAUCAGCAUGCCGCGGUGAAUACGUUCCCGGGCCUUGUACACACCGCACUACUA